rnacentral:tRNA from 4 species
GGCGGUGUAGCUCAGCUGGUUAGAGCGCACGACUCAUAAUCGUGAGGUCGCGGGAUCGAGUCCCGCCACCGCUACCA